rnacentral:pre_miRNA from 1 species
CAAGUACUCCCUCCGUCUCAAAAUUCUUGUCUUAGAUUUGUCUAUAUAUGGAUGUAUCAAGUCACAUUUUAGUAUUAGAUACAUCCGUAUCUAGACAAAUUUAAGAUAAGAAAUUUGGGACAGAGGGAGUACUAA